AGCAGCAGGAGCCUCUUUACUGGGGCCAUAAGCUAAUUUCAAAGGACCUUCAUCCGCCAAGUAUCUUGGUUUCUUUUCUUCAGCUUUAGAUAAACACAUUAUUCACGUCCAUAUAUUGUAUGGUUUAAUUAAUAAGAAAAAGAGACGAACGUGAUUCUUCUGGCACUACUUGCACAGUAGAUAGCAAGGUGCUGAAUGGGCUGCAGUUAACUAUGUACUGGCUGAAGUAAAACUGAGAGGUGAAACUAAAAUUACCUCAAGCAAGUUGAUAGAAGGGAAGCAGAAACUGUAUAGCUGCAUAACUAGCUGCUAAAUCAUUUAUCAUGUUAAACAAAACACAGAUUUAUUUAGAUAAUAAAAACUUAAAAAAUUGCAUACUUCAA